AUUAGCCAGUUGGCGGGGCAMCGGCCCACCAAAGCAGCGAUCGGUAGGGGUUCUGAGAGGAAGGUCCCCCACAAUGGAACUGAGACACGGUCCAUACUCCUACGGGAGGCAGCAGUGAGGAAUAUUGGUCAAUGGGCGGAAGCCUGAACCAGCCAUGCCGCGUGCAGGAAUGAGGCCCUAUGGGUUGUAAACURCUUUUCCCGCGGAGCAAUAAGGAUGUAUCGGACGUCCGAUGAGAGUACGCGGGGAAUAAGCAUCGGCUAACUCCGUGCCAGCAGCCGCGGUAAUACGGAGGAUGCGAGCGUUAUCCGGAUUCAUUGGGUAUAAAGGGUGCGUAGGCGGCUCUGCAAGUCAGCGGUGAAAUGUCCGGGCCCAACCCGGAAGGUGCCGUUGAUACUGUGGAGCUGGAGUACGGACGCCGGCGGAGGAAUGAGUGGUGUAGCGGUGAAAUGCAUAGAWAUCACUCAGAACACCGAUUGCGAAGGCAUCCGCCGAGACCGAAACUGACGCUGAGGCACGAAAGCGUUCCUUUUAACAGGAUUAGAUACCCUGGUAUUCCACGCCGUAA
rnacentral:rRNA from 1 species